rnacentral:pre_miRNA from 1 species
AGGGGGAGGUCGGAUCCUGGGCUGUGUCCCCGGCACCCUGGGCUCUGGAGCCUGCGCCGCUGGAAUCCGCUCCUGGCUGCACAGCCCCCU